rnacentral:lncRNA from 1 species
UACAGGGAGGUAGCUGGGUUUGAGGUGCUUGAGGGGCAGAUGGGUGGUCUGAUGGGCAGGUAGACAGAAGGGUCUGCAGCCGGGGAGGAGACUGAGAUACAUGAGACCAUCCAGGGAGAGGGGACCCAGGGGGAAGAGCAAAGGACCGGAUCCUGGGAACUGGACAGUUGUGAUUUGGCCAAGACAGAAAAGCCUGUGAAAGAGACCAAAAAAACCCAAGUGCAGUGUGAGGAGAGGCCCGCAGAGAAGAGUCUUGGAAGCUGAGGGGAGGUGACCUCAGCAGCACAGUGGACAGCGGUGCCAGUGACUUGGGAAGGUCAGAAAACAGAAGAUGGAAAGUGGGUUUGGAAACCAGGGAGA